GACGAACGCUGGCGGCGUGCCUAAUACAUGCAAGUAGAACGCACAGUUUAUACCUUAGCUUGCUACACCAUAGACUGUGAGUUGCGAACGGGUGAGUAACGCGUAGGUAACCUGCCUGGUAGCGGGGGAUAACUAUUGGAAACGAUAGCUAAUACCGCAUAAUAUUAAUUAUUGCAUGAUAAUUAAUUGAAAGGUGCAAUUGCACCACUACCAGAUGGACCUGCGUUGUAUUAGCUAGUAGGUGAGGUAACGGCUCACCUAGGCGACGAUACAUGGCCGACCGGAGAGGGUGAUAGGCCACACUGGGACUGAGACACGGCCCAGACUCCUACGGGAGGCAGCAGUAGGGAAUCGUCGGCAAGGGACGAAAGUCUGACCGAGCAACGCCGCGGGAGUGAAGAAGGGUUUCGGAUCGUAAAGCUCGGUUGUAAGAGAAGAACGGGUGUGAGAGUGGAAAGUUCACACUGUGACGGUAUCUGACCAGAAAGGGACGGCUAACUACGUG
rnacentral:rRNA from 1 species